GAGAGAGAGAGCGGGCAAGCGAGACGCAGCCAUGUUUAUGUUCAUUCGGGAGGGACCUGCCAGUGGGCCGGGCACCGGUUCUGGAACGAGCGGAGUGCAGGAGAAGACUCCCAAACAGGUACAGGCCGCCAUCAGGAAGAAGGUGGAGAAGCAGAGGAGGCGAAACUCUGAGCUCGUUGCCGGGGAGGAGAUGGACAAUAGCGCCAGACCCCCUCGGGCCAAGGCCCCCACCUUGUCCUCAGCUGCUGAGGAGGAAGAGGAGGAGGAACAGCAGGUUCACAAGGAGGCAGAGAGGGAGGCAUUGCAGGCAGAUCUGCUGCCUAUAGUGGACUCAGCCUAUGGCCAGGUAAGGACCCCAUCUCCUCCUGGGAUGUCACAUGGGACGUCACCUGACCCACCCGUCACAGCUAGCAUAGCACGCUUCCUAUACCUGUCAUGCCCACGUCUCAGCUGACUGACUGGUGCUGCACUGAAAGGUACUCUGUAAGGCAUAUUGCAACACGGAACAUUGUGCUUUUAAUAUUAAUAAACUGAUAUGUCCCAUUCCA
rnacentral:lncRNA from 1 species